GAAAAAACAGCACAGUUUGGAACAACCAAAGUUUUUGUUGAAUUUCAAGCUUGCAUUUUUGUUCUUCUCAAUUGGGAUUUUGUUGUUUCAAUGCGACGUCGUUGUUUGCAACAAACUUGAUGCAUUAGUUGUUUCUACCAUUAGAUAUUGGUAAACUCAACGUUGUUUCAUGAUAGCUUCAAAUUAUAUUAUUGGUUGUUUAAAACUGGAAUAUGGUAUGAUUUUAUCAUAUUUUAGGUAGUUCAUGAUUGUUGUGAGAAAAGAGAAUCAAACUAGUGUCUUAGUUAGGUUCAACAAAACUACUGCGUUUAAUUGAUGCAACAUUUUGUUUGAAAACAAUUCAAGUUAAUAUUUUGUUAGAAUCAACCUAAAGCUUCACAUUGGCGGUUCCACCGCCGUGAUAGCUUCGUUCUACGCUCGAUCUACGCCAUAUUGUAAAAUAAUCACAUUCACCGAGUUCAUCGGAGCUACUUCUGCUCCCCUGAAAAACGUACAAUAAAUAUACAUUGUGGUGCUGCGCGUGGAACGGAUUGAAGUAACAUCAAAAACAUUAGAUCGCGUAUGAAAUGCUUUAAUUAAUAGACCGAUGUGGCAUUAUGGAUUUCCCCACGCAUCAAGCAGUUUUUUCAACAUCCUUCGAGCCUCCAAUGUGCAUUUAAAAAAAUAUUAUGUGCUUACAAAGAUCAUCUGAUUCUGAAAGAAGAUUACAAAUAUAGCAAUGAAUAGAACGAAGCUUUAAAUUUGUCUUGUUUUUAUUAAAAGCAAAAAAUAUGGCCAGUUCCCGGGAACUAGAAAACCUGGAUAAAUUAACAAUGAGAUUAGUUGUUUUAACCAAAGCAUUUAUUCCAUUCUAAUUUGUUUUUGGUUCUUCCAAACUAUUUUUCAUAGUUUGAGAUAACCAAAUCUUUGGGUUGUUUUCAAGUUGUUCAACAUCUGUCAAAUGAUAUGACUAAUAUUUUGGUUGUUUGGAACAAAUAUUCGUUGAACCUAAUGAUACAGUCAUGAAAAAUGUAACGUACAAUUUUAGUUUGUGAUUACCUACACGAAUGGUAAAACUAAACUAAUAUUAUGAUUGUGCAAAUUAUAACCUGGAGUUUUGGUUGAAACUGGCCAAACUUUGGUUAUGUUUACCAUAUUUUUUUCUCCG